rnacentral:lncRNA from 10 species
AAAGCACAAUAAGAUUAUGUAUGCCAAUAUUCUAAAACAAACAGGAUGGAGGAGCAUCUAGACAUUCUUUACUGAAUCUUGUAAUAAUCUUACUACUCAAAGGAAGGUCUGUGGAUCAGGAACAUUGACAUGUUAGGAAUAUAGACUCUCAGCCCCCACCCCAGCACUACAGAAUCCGAUUUCAUUUUAUCAAGAUGCCCCAGGCAAUUUACAUCUACAUCAAGGUUUAAGAGUCCUUGUAAUCCUGGCUCUGGCAUUUACUAGCAGUGUGAUGUUAGAUUGCAUAAUCUCUGUGUCCACUUUGUCAACUGUAAAAUAGAGGGUGGAGUACAGGAAGACAGGGUGCAUGUAAUUGGAUAUUGGGAUAUCUCUAGAGAUAAGGUACACAAAUGUUAAAUAACACCUCUUGCUUAGUAAGCAUUGGUUAUUUUCACGUGCUAAGUACUUUCAAAAACAACUGUAAGGGGAUACAGCUUUCAAAUUCUCUUAAGUAUUUGAACUCAUCGUCUUUAAACCCUUACCCUUAUUUAUGUCAUAUUAAGGGUUUUUAGCCUAUUGAAAUGUUGGGGAGGGUUUUUAUUCAUCUGGUUUAGUCUUUCUUCCUUAGAGAUGAGUAAGCACAGGAAAAAUAAGCAUUUCCAAAGUCAGCAAAUAGUGUUUGUCCUAAUAAGCCCUAAUAUAGACAAAUGGCCAUAACUUCAAUCAAUGAAUUAUCAAGUUAUAAACUUAAAAAUAUACACAGAAACAAUCUAGUAAUUUGUCGAACCUUGAAGGACACUGACUGCUUAAUGGACUUUAGUCAUAAUAUGUUGUAACCCUAGAUUAACUGAAAUGGGUGAAAUGGAUAUGUAUAUAUAGAAUAAGUUUGUGCAAAGAGAAGAUAACCUGGUUUUCAACUUCUUUGAAAACAUGUUUUAGUAUAAUCUUUGUGCAUCGUUUAGUAAGUAUAAUAUAUUCUAUUAAGUUUCAUGUUUGUCUUAUGUAAUGAUUUGGAAAGCACAUCCAGGUCUUUCAGUAAAAUUCUAGUGAGGUGUGACCUUGCAAAGAUUUUUCCAGAGUAUUUCUGGAGGAUGCCGAACUUGAGUGAAUUGUUAACAUGUCUAACAGUAUUCCUGUGGUCACUCCUGAAUUGGAUUUUUAACUAUGUUAGCUCCAGAUGCGAAGAAAGUAUAUAAUAAUAGAAAAUGACUGUUCUCCAUCUUUUAAACAGAAAAUUUUGUUAAUAAAAAUUUCUUCAGGCCAUCUCACUACAUGGUCCCCGAAGCACUUUCUCCUGAGUAAACCAAUAGGCUCUGACUCUUUCUCAACCUCUUAUGAUAAAAACUGUUUUGAUGUACUGUUGGAUUCAGUUUGCCAGUAUUUUGUUGAGGAUUUUUGUAUCGAUGUUCAUAAAGGAUAUUGGCCUGAAGUUUUCUUCUUUUAUUGUGUCUCUGCCAGGUUUUAAUAUCAGGAUGAUGCUGGCCUCAUAGAAUGAGUUAGGGAGGAGUCCCUCUUCCUCAAUUUUUUGGAAUAGUUUCAGCAGGAAUGGUACCAGCUCUUCUUUGUACAUCUGGUAGAAUUCAGCUGUGUAUCUAUCUGGUUCUGGGUUUUUUAUGUUUAGUAAGCUAUUUAUUACUGACUCAGUUUCAGAGCUCAUUAUUGGUCUGUGAAAACUGAAUUUAACCCAAAGCUGCUUCAUCUCUUUGAAUUUAUACUGUUCCUUUGAGUAUCCUUAAAGUCCCAUUAUAAGCACUACCUUCCAUAAAGCUUUGCCCAGUUCUUCUAACCUCAUUGAUCUGCCUCUGCUGCUCUGCUCUGAACUUAAUCCCUAUUUUUAGGCCCUUAUCCUUAACCUUGCAGAAGAGUCGCUUGUGUUCCUGUCUUGGGUCCCCCUAUGUUUCCACAGGCAGAAAACUGCAUGCCUUAUCCAUUCCUCCACUCCCUAUGGUGCUUAGCUUGGCAUCUUCCUAACACAGGCUAGAUGGGCUGUGUCUGUUGCCGCAUAUGCACAUUGUGAAGCAAUAUGUCAUAGACCUCCAAGAUAACUAGUAUCAUCUCUUCAUUUUAACAUGAGAAAACUGAGAUGUACAAAGGCACUCAAAGGUGCAAACUCAAGGUCAUUGGUGAGAUGGUGGCAGAGCUAGGUCACGUGACUCCCUGUAAAUUACCACCUUCUAAAAUGUAGAGGGAAAUAUGAUGUCAUGGGAGAGUAUUUUGUGGUCAUGAAAUAGUAUGGAUUGCCUAUAUCCUGAUGGAAAUAAUACAGCAGAGGGGAAAAUCGAUGAUGCAAUGAUUGUAAGAGGGAAGUUAUCAAGUAGGUAAAAGGGGGAAAAAUCCAGUACACAAUGAAUAAGAAGUAUGGUUUACAGAUAAAAAUGGUUUAUGGGUAAAAAUGAGGAGGAGGCAGAAGACAUUGUAGGUUUGAAGAGAGAAGAGAUAAAAGUUUUUCUAGGAGAGUGGGAAAGGGAAUUGAUGAGGGAAUCAUAGUAUGAUUUCAGGCAGCUGUGACCAUUAAGGUUUGUGGUCAAACAAUGUUUUUCAGUGGAGAUGCUGUCAGUGUUUCAGGCAGGCAUCUUCCUUGGCAUUUAGCAUCCCUGGCCCUUGGUAGUACCCCUCAAUCAUUGUGCUGAUCAAAAUGUUCUCUGCCCCACUUCCAAACACUGCCCAGGGAACUGAACCUUUCCUGGUUGAGGACCACAGAGAGACCAAUCACAAAGUUGCAUAGUUUUCUUCAGUCACAUUCAGAUGUUGGCAGGGACUAUGCAAAAUCUGGGUUUAUGAGUGUUAGGGUUAGACAGAAAAGGACAGUGAAAAUAGACAGAGUCAAAGGAAUUGAAAGUGUAUGUAAUGCAGUAAUUAUAACAGAUUUUAUGAACAACAAAAUACCUCUGCUGGCCUGAGGCAACUCAGGACACCACAGUGGGAAGGGAAUUCCUGGCUACCAUUGAUGAACAUUUGGACAUGUGUCCAAUUUUGGGCUAUUAUUAAUAAAGCUUAUAUGAAUAUUUUACACAUAUCUUUGGGUCGACAUAUGCAUUUAUUUCUGUUAGUAAUAUACACAGAGAAAUAGAGUUCUCUUGGGACUUGCUUGAUCAAAGGGAAUACGUAUCUUUAGCUUUAUUUAAAAUUGCGAACUAUUUUAAAUUCCUGUCAGCAAUGUGUGAGAAUUCUAGUUGUCUACCACAUCUUUACCAAAAAUUGAUCUUAAUUAGUGCCUUUAAUUUAACCAUUUGGUUGUAGUGUAGUGGUGUCGCAUUGUGGUUUUCAUUUGUAUUUUUCUGAUGUCUAAUGAUAUAAACUUCCUUUUUCAUAUGCUUAUGAGUCAUUUGAAAACACUCUUUUGUUGUGUGUCUAUUUCCAGUAUUUCUCCCUUUUUAUUGAAUUCCUUAAAUUUGUAGUUCUGACUAAGUCCCUUGUCAUAUGUAUUACCUAUCUUCCAAAAAUCUUCUCACAGUCUGUGGCUUGCCGUUUCACUCUAUUGUCUUUGUUGAAUAGUUCUUAAUGAAAUCCAAUUUAUUACGCUUUUCUCUUUAGCACUUUAUAUAUCUUGUUUAAAAUGUUUUAACCUAUCUAAAAUAAUGAAGAUUUUUUUUUUCUAGAAGUUUCAUUGUUUUAGUUUUCAUAUGUAAGCUAUCACAAUUUUUAUUUUGGUGUGAUGUGAAGUAGAGGAUUAAUGCUUCUUUUUAUUUUAAUGGAUUCCAAUUGACACAAUACUGUUCAAUGAGAAGACUGGCUCCUCUUGCACUCAAUUGCAAUGGCACCCUUGUCACAAAUCAAGUGACCAAAUGAAAACCAUUUCCCUUUAUAUGCUCUGAAACAUCUGCAAAAACUUAAAAACCUGGCUUAUCCCCUCCCCUAGUCUCCAGCCUCUUGCUGUUACCUCCCGAUUCCUGAAUCUACCAGAAGCCAGCUGACAUUGGAGCCUCGGAAGCAUGCCCUGCAAGGGCCAGCCUCAGGAGGAUAAUGCCUAGAAGGGGAAGGUUACAGAGUGAUCUAGGGGCAGAAGGCCCAGGACUAGUACCCUAUCUGACCCAGACCCUUUCUCUGGAGUUAGUAAUUGGUUUUUCUUCUAAUUCUUGAGUCAGUUUUGGUUAUCUCUAUUUUCCAAGAAAAUCAUCUAUUUUACUGAGGUUUUUAAAUUAGUGUAAAAUUAUAUUUUAUCAUGUAAAAUCUCCGUGUUUAUAGUUAAUUUCUUCUUCUUAUUCUAAUUUUGUGUAUGCAUAAGCUUAAAUAUUUUUCUGCAUUUGUGACAAUUGCCUAGGGACAGGCAAUUUUAUUUAACAUGUUCCUCUGACCCUUGUCCAUUCUUUGAUUAAUAAAUAGGUCUAGAAGCUGAUCCAAUUCAGGAUCAGUUAUUUUGGCAUAAGUCCUUCACAGGCAGUAUGUACUUCCAUCAGGGGCCAUGUAAACAUAAAUGUCCUUUUUGAUGUUAAUAGCUAUUGUUGACUAUUGCCUAGAUACAUUAGGAGUUGCAAAUGCUGAAAAACUAAUUUUAUCAUUCUUUAUUUGUUUAUCAACUGGAACAAUUCUUUAAAGAGAAGCUAUCCCUCAUCACUAUUUGAUCACUCUUAACUGUCUGUACUUUUCCUUUAUACCUGACUUCCUUUACCAAAAUAAUAAUCUUUUCUCUAAAGGUACAGACCCCAGAAUUUUUGCAGAGACUCAGUUCUCUCUUUGGAGGCAACCACUGUUACAAAUUUCUUAUGGUAGUUUCCAGAGAUAUCAAAACUAUAUAUUCAAAUGAUAAAGCAAAUGGGUUAAAAUGACAAUAAUGAGUGAAUCUGGGUAACAGGUGUAUAAGUGUUCUUUAUAUUGUUUUAUUUGUACAACUUUUGUAAGUUUUAAAGUAUUUCUAAGUAAACAGUAAUAUGCACAUUAAAUAAUAUAUAUUAUAUAUAUACUUUUUGUUUAGUAACUCAAAUGAUACUAACUGUACACGCCGUCCUGCCCCUUGCUUUUCUCAUUAAACCAUAUUAUCUUGAAGAUCUGUCCAUUAG